CCUCCCCUCCUUCGCUGCCCGCCGGUGGAGGCGUCGGCACGGCGCUGUUAAAAGCGGCCCGUUCCGCCUCCGGCCGCCCGAGGUGCCAGGCCCCGGGCUCCCCGCGCGAAGGCCGCGGCCAUGGCUCUCCGGGUCCGCGUGCUGUACUGCGGGGCCUGAGGCUACCUUCCCAAGUAUCAACAGCUCAAGAAGGAACUUGAAAAACAGUUCCCAGGCAAGCUGGAGAUCAGUGGCGAAGGGACCCCUCAGGUCACAGGAUGGUUUGAAGUGACAAUUGCAGACAAACUGGUGCAUUCAAAAAUGAACGGAGAUGGAUUUGUGGAUAAUGACACCAAGCUUUCCAAGAUUGUGGCAACCAUUAAAAAGACGUUGGCUUUGGGAUAGGAACAGCAGAAUGCAUCGGUGGCUCUGUACAUAGCACAGCUUGAUGAGCAUUUGCUUCAUUCAGCUCGGCCGAGCGCUUGAUGAUGGGAGUUGCUGAAAUGUCCUCUGGAGCGUGGCCAUUCCCAGAAGUUUUUGCGCAGGAUGCUGGUUUGAAUGAAGGCAGAUGAGAAUCCAGUUCUGUGCUUUGGCAUGCUUUAUAUCUGUAUGCAACACCUGUCUAGAGUUGAAACGGCCCCAUUAACGUGCCCUGUUAACACACUAUGUGCCAUUAAGGUGCCUCUAACUUUGAAUAAUUCUUGAGUGAGUUUCACUGUUCAGCCUUACAGAGAAAUCUGUCUUAGUGCUGAUAUAGCAACAGCAAGCUCUUUGUCUGGGGUUGCUGGGAUGAAGGCUGUCAAGUAAGGGAGGGUUACCAUCUGGGAAUCCCAUCAGUGUGGGAAGAGGAAUUAACUGCUCAUUGUCCGGUAUGGGGGGAACUGGGAGGGAAAUGAGAUAAAAUGUUUUAAGGAAUGACUCAGUAGUCUGUUUAUAAAACUCCUGAGUUUUAAUUUAAACUCCCUAUGUUUUCUUAAACUGGUGUCAAAACAGUUUUUCCCUCUUCUGCAGAACCUUGAUACAGUCCUGACAAAUCACAUUGAGAUGUCCCAGCUAGGCAGUAGAGCUUGCUCACAAAACGUAACCUCUAAAUCUUGGCAUUUCUGAAUCGUGAUAAUGCACUUCCCCCUUCCAGGGUCACCCAGUGUUUAAAAAAAAAAAAACCCAGAAAGACAGUUUUGCAAUUUUGCUGUAUGAUUUAACUUUUGUUGCACUUCAGAAAGGUGUCUGUCAAAUAAAAUAAUAAAAAUUUGUAAACUG